rnacentral:misc_RNA from 1 species
GAUGAAGAACGCAGCGAAAUGCGAUAAGUAAUGCGAAUUGCAGAAUUCAGUGAGUCAUCGAAUCUUUGAACGCACAUUGCGCCCGCCAGUAUUCUGGCGGGCAUGCCUGUUCGAGCGUCAUUUCAACCAUCAAGCCCCCGGCUUGUGUUGGGGACCUGCGGCUGCCGCAGGCCCUGAAAAGCAGUGGCGGGCUCGCUGUCACACCGAGCGUAGUAGCAUACAUCUCGCUCUGGGCGUGCUGCGGGUUCCGGCCGUUAAACCACCUUCAUAACCCAAGGUUGACCUCGGAUCAGGUAGGAAGACCCGCUGAACUUAAGCAUAUCAAUAAGCGGAGGA